UACAGAGGUCCCAAGCGUUGUUCGGAUUCAUUGGGCGUAAAGGGUGCGUAGGCGGCGCGGUAAGUCGGGUGUGAAAUCUCGGGGCUUAACUCCGAAACUGCAUUCGAUACUGCCGUGCUUGAGGACUGGAGAGGAGACUGGAAUUUACGGUGUAGCGGUGAAAUGCGUAGAUAUCGUAAGGAAGACCAGUGGCGAAGGCGACUUUCUGGUCUGUAACUGACGCUGAGGCGCGAAAGCGUGGGGAGCAAACAGG
rnacentral:rRNA from 1 species